rnacentral:rRNA from 1 species
ACUCCUACGGGAGGCAGCAGUGGGGAAUAUUGCACAAUGGGCGCAAGCCUGAUGCAGCCAUGCCGCGUGUGUGAAGAAGGCCUUCGGGUUGUAAAGCACUUUCAGUUGUGAGGAAGGUGGUGUCGUUAAUAGCGGGCAUCAUUUGACGUUAGCAACAGAAGAAGCACCGGCUAACUCCGUGCCAGCAGCCGCGGUAAUACGGAGGGUGCGAGCGUUAUCCGGAUUUAUUGGGUUUAAAGGGUCCGUAGGCGGGUUUAAUAAGUCAGUGGUGAAAUCCCAUCGCUUAACGAUGGAACUGCCAUUGAUACUGUUAGUCUUGAAUGAGGGUGCAGUGGUUGGAAUGUGUAGUGUAGCGGUGAAAUGCAUAGAUAUUACACAGAACACCGAUUGCGAAGGCAGAUCACUAACCCUAAAUUGACGCUGAGGGACGAAAGCGUGGGGGAGCGAACAGGAUUAGAUACCCU